GACCAUCUCCUAAGGCUAAAUACUCUCUAGUGACCGAUAGUGAACCAGUACCGUGAGGGAAAGGUGAAAAGCACCCCGGAAGGGGAGUGAAAUAGAACCUGAAACCGUGUGCUUACAAGUAGUCAGAGCCCGUUAAUGGGUGAUGGCGUGCCUUUUGUAGAAUGAACCGGCGAGUUACGAUUUGAUGCAAGGUUAAGCAGUAAAUGUGGAGCCGUAGCGAAAGCGAGUCUGAAUAGGGCGUUUAGUAUUUGGUCGUAGACCCGAAACCAGGUGAUCUACCCUUGGUCAGGUUGAAGUUCAGGUAACACUGAAUGGAGGACCGAACCGACUUACGUUGAAAAGUGAGCGGAUGAACUGAGGGUAGCGGAGAAAUUCCAAUCGAACCUGGAGAUAGCUGGUUCUCUCCGAAAUAGCUUUAGGGCUAGCCUCAAGUGAUGAUUAUUGGAGGUAGAGCACUGUUUGGACGAGGGGCCCCUCUCGGGUUACCGAAUUCAGACAAACUCCGAAUGCCAAUUAAUUUAACUUGGGAGUCAGAA
rnacentral:rRNA from 1 species